rnacentral:rRNA from 1 species
UACAGAGGUCCCGAGCGUUGUUCGGAUUUAUUGGGCGUAAAGGGUGCGUAGGCGGCGGAGUAAGUUGGGUGUGAAAUCCCGGGGCUUAACCUGGGAACUGCAUUCGAGACUGCAUUGCUAGAGUAUGGGAGAGGGAAGUGGAAUUUCCGGUGUAGCGGUGAAAUGCGUAGAUAUCGGAAGGAACAUCAGUGGCGAAAGCGACUUCCUGGACCAAUACUGACGCUCAUGUGCGAAAGCGUGGGGAGCAAACAGG